UUGACGCCUAAGACCUUCAUGGUGUACAUCGCCACUCAUCAAAUCAACACACAGCAAUAAUCAAGAGCAGUACAGGAUGUCAGCCGAGCCAAGCUCAAUUUUUCAAAGCAAGAAAAUUGAAUUGCUACCACUCCCUCCAAAAAGCCCACAAUAGGCCUGAUCCAAUCAAAGAAAGGGAAUAAGAGAAUGGGCUUGCCCAUUCACCAGUCCGGCGGCCGGCCAUGGACCUCCACCAUUGCCAUGGUCAAGUCUGGACCACGACCUGGAGCAACACCACACAAGCCACCGCCCCCAAGCCUAGAUCAUUGCCAAAGACGGACUAGAUCAUCAAAGUCUGGACCACGACCUGGAACAGCCGCCGACAACAAGCCUUCAGUCGCCGCCAACAGAAAAGAUCAAACCAGUGCAGCAGCUGUCGAAUCCAAUUACCGGCGAAGCCCGAACACCCUCAACCACCACCGCCUUUUGCCGCAGCGAUUGAAGCCUCUCCGACGUACCUGGAUCAAUCAUCGACGCCCGCGUAAGAACUGCACAACGUCGAGCCUCUCCAUCGCCGCCGCCAGCACACGAAACCCUUUGGUUACACCUAAACGAGGUCGCUCCGAAUUUCCCGGAGGCCUCCCCUCACCUCGUACUAGGAAAUCCCUAUUUUAAUAAAACUUUUCAGUGGAAUAAUUUUUGGUUAAAUUAGACUUAUGAAACAUUAUCCUCUUUUUGAAAAGCUUUCUUUCAAAUCCUGGUGACCUAGAAUCUGAUGGCACUGUGAGCAUGCAAUUGCUGGUCUUGAUCGACAUGCUUAUCAGUUCAUCCUCGACAUAAAGAUGCAGUAGAUGGGAGCGGUUGAUGAAAUUAAAAAAAAAAAAAUCAAAACUAUGCGUGUGAAUUUAGAAGGAAUAAUGUGUCUGGCCGAGUUGCUUAGAUGUAAUUGAUGGUCGAAGCUCACCACCUCUUUGAGAAAUAUUGCUCCCUUCAACUGCUGCUGAGGUAGUCAAACCAUUACAAGUAAGCAAUUCACCACAUGUUACCAGAGCUAUUGGAUCUGACAAAUGCAAUCUUCGAGUUGAGAGGUGUUGAGAAACUUGCUUCAUUGUUGGACGAGAUUGAGGACUGGA